rnacentral:rRNA from 1 species
AUUGAACGCUGGCGGCAUGCCUUACACAUGCAAGUCGAACGGUAACGCGGGGCAACCUGGCGACGAGUGGCGAACGGGUGAGUAAUGCAUCGGAACGUGCCUGGUAGUGGGGGAUAACUGCUCGAAAGAGCAGCUAAUACCGCAUACGACCUGAGGGUGAAAGGGGGGGACCGCAAGACCUCUCGCUAUCAGAGCGGCCGAUGUCGGAUUAGCUAGUUGGUGGGGUAAAGGCCCACCAAGGCAACGAUCCGUAGCUGGUCUGAGAGGACGACCAGCCACACUGGGACUGAGACACGGCCCAGACUCCUACGGGAGGCAGCAGUGGGGAAUUUUGGACAAUGGACGCAAGUCUGAUCCAGCCAUGCCGCGUGCGGGAAGAAGGCCUUCGGGUUGUAAACCGCUUUUGUCAGGGAAGAAAUCUUCUGGGCUAAUACCCUGGGAGGAUGACGGUACCUGAAGAAUAAGCACCGGCUAACUACGUGCCAGCAGCCGCCGUAAAAC